rnacentral:rRNA from 1 species
GACGAACGCUGGCGGCGUGCUUAACACAUGCAAGUCGAACGGAAAGGCCCUGCUUGCCGGGUACUCGAGUGGCGAACGGGUGAGUAACACGUGGGUGAUCUGCCCUGCACUUCGGGAUAAGCCUGGGAAACUGGGUCUAAUACCGGAUAGGAGCCAUUUUUAGUGUGAUGGUUGGAAAGUUUUUUCGGUGUAGGAUGAGCUCGCGGCCUAUCGGCUUGUUGGUGGGGUAAUGGCCUACCAAGGCGGCGACGGGUAGCCGGCCUGAGAGGGUGGACGGCCACAUUGGGACUGAGAUACGGCCCAGACUCCUACGGGAGGCAGCAGUGGGGAAUAUUGCACAAUGGGCGCAAGCCUGAUGCAGCGACGCCGCGUGGGGGAUGACGGCCUUCGGGUUGUAAACUCCUUUCGCUAGGGACGAAGCUUUUUGUGACGGUACCUAGAUAAGAAGCACCGGCUAACUACGUG